rnacentral:rRNA from 1 species
AUAAGGAGCUUGCUCCUUUGACGUUAGCGGCGGACGGGUGAGUAACACGUGGGUAACCUACCUAUAAGACUGGGAUAACUUCGGGAAACCGGAGCUAAUACCGGAUAACAUUUGGAACCGCAUGGUUCUAAAGUGAAAGAUGGUUUUGCUAUCACUUAUAGAUGGACCCGCGCCGUAUUAGCUAGUUGGUAAGGUAACGGCUUACCAAGGCGACGAUACGUAGCCGACCUGAGAGGGUGAUCGGCCACACUGGAACUGAGACACGGUCCAGACUCCUACGGGAGGCAGCAGUAGGGAAUCUUCCGCAAUGGGCGAAAGCCUGACGGAGCAACGCCGCGUGAGUGAUGAAGGGUUUCGGCUCGUAAAACUCUGUUAUUAGGGAAGAACAAAUGUGUAAGUAACUGUGCACGUCUUGACGGUACCUAAUCAGAAAGCCACGGCUAACUACGUGCCAGCAGCCGCGGUAAUACGUAGGUGGCAAGCGUUAUCCGGAAUUAUUGGGCGUAAAGCGCGCGUAGGCGGUUUCUUAAGUCUGAUGUGAAAGCCCACGGCUCAACCGUGGAGGGUCAUUGGAAACUGGGAAACUUGAGUGCAGAAGAGGAAAGUGGAAUUCCAUGUGUAGCGGUGAAAUGCGCAGAGAUAUGGAGGAACACCAGUGGCGAAGGCGACUUUCUGGUCUGUAACUGACGCUGAUGUGCGAAAGCGUGGGGAUCAAACAGGAUUAGAUACCCUGGUAGUCCACGCCGUAAACGAUGAGUGCUAAGUGUUAGGGGGUUUCCGCCCCUUAGUGCUGCAGCUAACGCAUUAAGCACUCCGCCUGGGGAGUACGACCGCAAGGUUGAAACUCAAAGGAAUUGACGGGGACCCGCACAAGCGGUGGAGCAUGUGGUUUAAUUCGAAGCAACGCGAAGAACCUUACCAAAUCUUGACAUCCUUUGAAAACUCUAGAGAUAGAGCCUUCCCCUUCGGGGGACAAAGUGACAGGUGGUGCAUGGUUGUCGUCAGCUCGUGUCGUGAGAUGUUGGGUUAAGUCCCGCAACGAGCGCAACCCUUAAGCUUAGUUGCCAUCAUUAAGUUGGGCACUCUAGGUUGACUGCCGGUGACAAACCGGAGGAAGGUGGGGAUGACGUCAAAUCAUCAUGCCCCUUAUGAUUUGGGCUACACACGUGCUACAAUGGACAAUACAAAGGGCAGCUAAACCGCGAGGUCAUGCAAAUCCCAUAAAGUUGUUCUCAGUUCGGAUUGUAGUCUGCAACUCGACUACAUGAAGCUGGAAUCGCUAGUAAUCGUAGAUCAGCAUGCUACGGUGAAUACGUUCCCGGGUCUUGUACACACCGCCCGUCACACCACGAGAGUUUGUAACACCCGAAGCCGGUGGAGUAACCAUUUA